CCUACGGGCGGCAGCAGUGAGGAAUAUUGGUCAAUGGACGAGAGUCUGAACCAGCCAAGUAGCGUGAAGGAUGACUGCCCUAUGGGUUGUAAACUUCUUUUAUCUGGGAAUAAAAUGUUCCACGUGUGGGAUUUUGUAUGUACCAUAUGAAUAAGGAUCGGCUAACUCCGUGCCAGCAGCCGCGGUAAUACGGAGGAUCCGAGCGUUAUCCGGAUUUAUUGGGUUUAAAGGGAGCGUAGGUGGAUUGUUAAGUCAGUUGUGAAAGUUUGCGGCUCAACCGUAAAAUUGCAGUUGAAACUGGCAGUCUUGAGUACAGUAGAGGUGGGCGGAAUUCGUGGUGUAGCGGUGAAAUGCUUAGAUAUCACGAAGAACUCCGAUUGCGAAGGCAGUUCACUGGACUGCAACUGACACUGAGGCUCGAAAGUGUGGGUAUCAAACAGGAUUAGAUACCCCAGUAGUC
rnacentral:rRNA from 1 species